GAAGGCGGGUCUGUAUUUUUGGCGUCUGGAGUAUUUCGCUGAGAAGGCUGUAAGUAUUUUGCAUGGAAUUCAGUCCAAUUCAACACUAACCUAGCACGGCAGGGCUGUUUGGGUUGCUGGCAGCAGGCUGGCUGGAUGUCUGGUAUCAGAGCGCUCCUGGGACUCGGGGUGUUAGUGACGAGUCGUUGUGCACGAGGAGGCGGGGCUUAUACCAGGAGUGGGGCGUGUCCUGCAUCCAGUGGGUGGGGCCAGUUGAACUGGGCGUGUCCUAAAGCUGGUAUCUCCACAAUGGAAACGACAAAACAACUGAAAUACCUCAGUCAGGAGGAAGCACAGCACAUUGAUGAGGAGCUCUUCACUGAGUACCGCUUCAGUGUGGAUCAGCUGAUGGAGCACAACCCCUCCUGCUGUACCCUGCUAACAAGACACUGCCCCCUGCUGUACCCUGCUAACACAAGACACUACCCUCCUGCUGUACCCUGCUAACACAAGACACUGCCCCCUGCUGUACCCUGCUAACACAAGACACUGCCCCCUGCUGUACCCUGCUAACACAAGACACUGCCCCCUGCUGUACCCUGCUAACACAAGACACUGCCCCCUGCUGUACCCUGCUAACACAAGACACUGCACACUGGAGCAAUGGAAGUUCUAAAAGGUGCAGUUUUGAAAGAACCACAUACAUUAGCGAGCGUUUAUUUUCAUUUGAAAUUCUGAUCUCUGGUUCUGCAUUGGGUUCUCAGUGAAGUUUGUUUCUACAAAACAGUCAUCAUUCCUGAAUGAAAAGUUCAGCCACUAGAACGAUGCUCCAGGUAAUCCAGAGUCCUGGUGUGCGCCGGGCUGUGUCCCUGGCACACCUGCGCUCAAUCACAAUGGCUUUGUGUCAUUGCUAAUGAAUUACAUUUACUAUGUCAUUAGAAUAGUGAGUAUAGUUGAACCUUACUGCACCUGCAUAAUUCUAAUUACCCAAUAAUUGACAAUUACAAUUACACAACUCUCCAAGCUUAAUCAUUCACAGUUCCAUGUUCCAUGUUCUACACUGAGCGAACAUUCUUCUCGUAUUUUCAACCACUUUUAGUGACCCCAUUUGUUUGAAAAAAAGUUACUUAGUUGUGCUUCUGUAUUUGUAUCUGCUGUUUAUUUUACUUUGUAGUAUAAUUGUAAUUGCUGCAGCGUAAUUGUAAUUGAACAAAAUGUAAUUGUAAUUGCCCCCGCUCUGCUCCCUGGCUCCCC